CCUACGGGAGGCAGCAGUGGGGAAUAUUGCACAAUGGGGGAAACCCUGAUGCAGCGACGCCGCGUGAGUGAAGAAGUAUCUCGGUACGUAAAGCUCUAUCAGCAGGGAAGAAAAUGACGGUACCUGACUAAGAAGCCCCGGCUAACUACGUGCCAGCAGCCGCGGUAAUACGUAGGGGGCAAGCGUUAUCCGGAUUUACUGGGUGUAAAGGGAGCGUAGACGGCAGCACAAGUCUGGAGGGAAAUCCCGGGGCUUAACCCCGGAACUGCUUUGGAAACGGGGCGGCUGGAGUGCAGGAGGGGUAAGCGGAAUUCCUAGUGUAGCGGGGAAAUGCGUAGAUAUUAGGAGGAACACCGGUGGCGAAGGCGGCUUACUGGACAGAAACUGACGUUGAGGCUCGAAAGCGUGGGGAGCAAACAGGAUUAGAUACCCGGGUAGUC
rnacentral:rRNA from 1 species